GGGUGCGAUCAUACCAGCACUU
rnacentral:rRNA from 1 species